rnacentral:rRNA from 1 species
AGUGAACGCUGGCGGCAGGCCUAACACAUGCAAGUCGAGCGGCAGCGCGUCCGACCACCCUCGGGUGGUCGGAUGGCGGCGAGCGGCGGACGGGUGAGGAAUGCAUCGGAAUCUGUCUCGUUGUGGGGGGAUAACGUAGGGAAACUUACGCUAAUACCGCAUACGACCUACGGGUGAGAGUGGGGGACCUUCGGGCCUCACGCGAUGAGAUGAGCCGAUGCCGGAUUAGCUAGUUGGCGGGGUAAAGGCCCACCAAGGCGACGAUCCGUAGCUGGUCUGAGGGGAUGAUCAGCCACACUGGAACUGAGACACGGUCCAGACCCU